CGAGGGGCAGCGGGGGAGUGGCAACACUUCCGCCGGCGACCGGCGCACGGGUGAGUAACACGUAUGAAACCUGCCCGCAGCAGGGGGAUAAGCGGAAGAAAUUCCGUCUAAUACCGCGUAACAACCGACGGGGGCAUCCCUGUUGGUUCAAAGGAGCGAUCCGGCUGCGGAUGGUCAUGCGGCGCAUUAGCUAGUUGGCGGGGCAACGGCCCACCAAGGCGACGAUGCGUAGGGGUUCUGAGAGGAAGGUCCCCCACACUGGUACUGAGACACGGACCAGACUCCUACGGGAGGCAGCAGUGAGGAAUAUUGGUCAAUGGCCGAGAGGCUGAACCAGCCAAGUCGCGUGAGGGAUGACGGCCCUACGGGUUGUAAACCUCUUUUGCCGGGGAGCAAAGAGCGGGACGCGUCCCGCCUCGAGAGUACCCGGAGAAAAAGCAUCGGCUAACUCCGUGCCAGCAGCCGCGGUAAUACGGAGGAUGCGAGCGUUAUCCGGAUUUAUUGGGUUUAAAGGGUGCGCAGGCGGAAGCGCAAGUCAGCGGUAAAAUUGAGAGGCUCAACCUCUUCCCGCCGUUGAAACUGCGUUUCUUGAGUGGGCGAGAAGUACGCGGAAUGCGUGGUGCAGCGGUGAAAUGCAUAGAUAUCACGAAGAACUCCGAUUGCGAAGGCAGCGUACCGGCGCCCAACUGACGCUCAUGCACGAAAGCGUGGGUAUCGAACAAGGUUAGAUACCCUGGUAGUCCACGCAGUAAAC
rnacentral:rRNA from 1 species